rnacentral:tRNA from 1 species
CGGGAUGUAGCGCAGCCUGGUAGCGCGCGUCGUUCGGGACGACGAGGCCGCAGGUUCGAAUCCUGUCAUCCCGACCA